rnacentral:lncRNA from 1 species
CGCUCACGCGCAUGCGCACGCGCACGGCCACCACGCUGCCAUGCUGCCGGCCAUGGGCGCCGCCGCCGGCGGAUACUCGCAGAUGUCGUGCAUGAGCUCGGUGCCUGGCCAGCAGCACGCGCAUGCGCAGCCCACAUCUCCCGGCGUCGCCACCUACCCGCAGCACCAGCUGUCGCCCACCGUCAUGGCUGCAGGAGAGGGCGCGGCUUCGCGCGCCGAGGCGCCGCCGGUGCCGGUGAGCAGCGUGUCGUCCCCGGUGGGCG